CGCUCUCCUAGGCAAGUACGUGUGACUUCGGCGGUCUUUCCAUUCCGCCUACGUUUCCCCAGCUUCAUUUCUACAGCUGUUCACCAAAAAGCAGCAGAAAAUAUUUCCGUCCUGUAUGGAAAAGGAGAAGAGAUGACAACGAGGAGGACAACCAAGAUGACCCUCAUUCAAAGAGGAAUAAGAAGGACCAGGCCUUCCAGGACCCUCACGCUAUAGAGAGCAAUGGAAAGUGGAAAACAUGAUAUGGCCGACAUGCAGCUGAUUCUUCACUGUGCAUUCCUCACUGAGAGCAAGGGAUGCCUUCCCAGAAGCCAGCAGGCUCUGUUUGUACAGAGCUGCUUCUGAGACAGACUCCUGUCUUCAGUCCAAUGGAGAGAAAGCAGAGCCUCCCUCGCAGUUCACUCUGGAAAGGUCUCGUAUCCUUUCCCUUUGUCCUCCAUCUAGUUCUGACCACCUUUGUGCAAGAUGAUGAUUGGUUCUCCAGAGAUCCUGUUUUGGCGAGGAAGGGGCUAAGCAGAAGGUCAGAGGGGGACAAGUGAGGACAAUGGAACUUGUAAUGAGCCAAUCUGCCUGAAAAAGAAUCCUGCUGACAGACACGUCCAGAUUCCAGUGCCCGAGAAACCACUACAAGGAUGUUCCACCUUCCUUCCACCUCAUUUAAGCCUUCAUCUCUGGGAGAUCAGCUGUCUGUCUUCCCUCAAGGCCACUCUCCAUCCUUCACCAUCCCGUAGCAGUUAGUCCUGAAUCAGAGUUUGACAUCCAGGCAACUUGGACUUGUUCCAGAGACAAUGAGACAUGGUCUCCUACAAUCAGAAUGGACAAAGAGCAGCAGUCAGAGAAUUCGAGAUCACCCCUGAAGAAAACAAAACUAGUUAAAAUCGAGAAAAAGAAACGUAUUGGGUCUCCCUUGCCUCAGCAAGCUGAAAAGAAAAGAAAAUCAUCUUCCCCUAGAGUUGCUGAAGAGGAGAUGUUCAAAUGUGAAUGCCGCUACUGCCAAGCUUGUAUGGGGACUACGUCCGGAGUCUCUGUGGGGACCAGGACAGAAGCAACCUCUCAUUCACCCUUCUCAGAAAAACUGAUACAAGACUUCCAUAACCUGACACUCAACCCUCGUUCCACCCAGCCCCCUGUUCUGCCAGAAGCAAUGCAGACAAGUGAAAACAAAUUGAAUUUUCAGCGGAAAAACAAAAAGGGGUUUCAAAAGGUUCUCCCCAAAUGGACAGAAUAACUUUGGCAUUGUCAUCCUCAUGUGAAGAAGAUCAGAACCUACACUAUCGUGCGUUUCAACAUCACCAAUCCCUAGGGUGAUAUGGUUUUGGUUGCAUGGUCAGUAGGAGUAUCAGCAUCCAGCCUGGUGACAAUAAUACUUUCAGAUGACAAGUUUCAAGUCUAUCCCACAAAUAUAGCUGCCUUUUUCUUAGUAGUUUUGACAUCCUCCCUGGGGCAUUCUGGGAAGAGAUACUCUUUGGCAAGGGCCACCACACAGCAGUAGUUCUAUACUCCCAAUGAUGCUGUUUCCAAAACUUGAACAGGUUUUGAC